AUGAAACACGAACGAAUAGAACCACCGCGGUCGAAGACGACGACCAGAAACGGCGGAAACACGAACGGAAACCACCGCGGUCGAAGAGGACGACCGGAAACGGCGGUCGAAGAGGAAGACCGGAAACGGCGGCCGAAACGGGGUUUUACCAUCAGUUGUGGUGGUCCGUCAGUUGCGGCGAGGAGGUUAAGGGCGACGGAGGUGUCGUGCAGUGAACUCGCGGUGGUCCUCGCGGUGAUGGUGAUGAAGACGGUUGGCAAUCGGAAUCGAGCGGGCUUGCAGAUUUCCUCUUCUCUUGUUUUUCAGAACAGGGCGCAGCGCGAUGGAGUGGUGGAAGAAUGA